rnacentral:rRNA from 1 species
CUACGGGAGGCACCAGUAAGGAAUAUUGCGCAAUGGAGGCAACUCUGACGCAGCCAUGCCGCGUGCAGGAAGAAGGCCUUAUGGGUCGUAAACUGCUUUUAUUUAGGAAUAAACCCCCGAACGUGUUCGGGGCUGAAGGUACUAAACGAAUAAGCACCGGCUAACUCCGUGCCAGCAGCCGCGGUAAUACAGAGGGUGCAAGCGUUAUCCGGAUUUAUUGGGUUUAAAGGGUGCGCAGGCGGGCUAUUAAGUCAGUGGUGAAAUCCCGGGGCUCAACUCCGGAACUGCCAUUGAUACUGAUAGUCUUGAGUUUGGUUGAAGUGGGCGGAAUGUAGCAUGUAGCGGUGAAAUGCAUAGAUAUGCUACAGAACACCAAUCACGAAGGCAGCUCACUAAGCCAAAACUGACGCUCAUGCACGAAAGCGUGGGGAUCAAACAGGAUUAGAUACCCCUGUAGUC